CCUACGGGUGGCAGCAGUAGGGAAUAUUGCUCAAUGGGGGAAACCCUGAAGCAGCAACGCCGCGUGGAGGACGAAGGUUUUCGGAUUGUAAACUCCUUUUUUUAGAGAAGAUAAUGACGGUAUCUAACGAAUAAGCACCGGCUAACUCCGUGCCAGCAGCCGCGGCAAUACGGAGGGUGCAAACGUUACUCGGAAUCACUGGGCGUAAAGAGCGCGUAGGCGGGAUAGCAAGUCAGAUGUGAAAUCCUAUGGCUUAACCAUAGAACUGCAUUUGAAACUGGUAUUCUAGAGUAUGGGAGAGGUAGGUGGAAUGCUUGGUGUAGGGAUAAAAUCCGUAGAGAUCGCGAAGAAUACUCAUUGCGAAGGCGACAUGCUAGAGCAGAACUGACGCUGAUGCGCGAAAGCGUGGGGAGCGAACAGGAUUAGAUACCCGGGUAGUC
rnacentral:rRNA from 1 species